rnacentral:rRNA from 1 species
UGGUUGUCGUCAGCUCGUGUCGUGAGAUGUUGGGUUAAGUCCCGCAACGAGCCGCAACCCCCUACGUUUAGUUGCUAACGCGUGAAGGCGAGUCACUCUAGACGAACUGCCGUUGACAAAACGGAGGAAGGUGGGAUGACGUCAAUCAUCAUGCCCCUUAUGUUCUGGGCUACACACGUGCUACAAUGGCCGGUACAGACGGACGCAAAGCCGCGAGGUGGAGCAAAUCCUAAAAAGCCGGUCUCAGUUCGGAUUGCAGGCUGCAAUUCGCCUGCAUGAAGUCGGAAUCGCUAGUAAUCGCAGGUCAGCAUACUGCGGUGAAUACGUUCCCGGGCCUU